rnacentral:rRNA from 1 species
GACGAACGCUGGCGGCGUGCUUAACACAUGCAAGUCGAACGGAAAGGCCCUGCUUUUGUGGGGUGCUCGAGUGGCGAACGGGUGAGUAACACGUGAGUAACCUGCCCUUGACCUUGGGAUGACUUCAGGAAACUGGGGCUAAUACCGGAUAGGAGCUCCUGCUGCAUGGUGGGGGUUGGAAAGUUUCGGCGGUUGGGGAUGGACUCGCGGCUUAUCAGCUUGUUGGUGGGGUAGUGGCUUACCAAGGCUUUGACGGGUAGCCGGCCUGAGAGGGUGACCGGCCACAUUGGGACUGAGAUACGGCCCAGACUCCUACGGGAGGCAGCAGUGGGGAAUAUUGCACAAUGGGCGGAAGCCUGAUGCAGCAACGCCGCGUGCGGGAUGACGGCCUUCGGGCUGUAAACCGCUUUCGCCUGUGACGAAGCGUGAGUGACGGUAAUGGGUAAAGAAGCACCGGCUAACUACGUG